UACGUGGGGUGCGAGCGUUAAUCGGAAUUACUGGGCGUAAAGCGUGCGCAGGCGGUUUGAUAAGCCAGAUGUGAAAUCCCCGAGCUCAACUUGGGAACUGCGUUUGGAACUGUCAGACUAGAGUGCGUCAGAGGGGGGUGGAAUUCCACGUGUAGCAGUGAAAUGCGUAGAGAUGUGGAGGAACACCGAUGGCGAAGGCAGCCCCCUGGGAUGACACUGACGCUCAUGCACGAAAGCGUGGGGAGCAAACAGG
rnacentral:rRNA from 1 species